ACAAGUAUGAGUUUGGUUGGUUACCAAUUUUCGUCCACACUAGUACAAAUCCUAUGCCACCAAAAUUACCGGUGUCAAUACUUGCCAGGAUUUUGACACAACCAAAAUAUUGGCAGAACGAAAAUUGGCUCCAAACCAAAUAAGCCAUAU
rnacentral:misc_RNA from 1 species